AGCUGGGGAAAGGUUUUAUUUUUAGAAAGCAGGCACACAGGAGUACACAAGGCCAACUCAGGGUCAGCCACAGGGUGUUUUGCCAAAAAGGCUGUGGGCCAGCAGGGCCGUGUGACUCAGCCCAGCCUUGUGGUCAGGAGGGUCCUGCACCAGCCCAUCAGAUCUACGCUCCUCCACAACGUCUGGACUUCGAAGAUACACUUCACUUCCCCCUUCCUCCCCGCAGUGCCUCUCAUCCCAUGAUGUAAAGUGAAAAGGACUUCAAAGGUUUGCUCAGACUCUGUGGGAUCUCCAUGUUGUGUCUACCCGCCUCUCCUCCGCGAAUGCGUUGUGGGCCCCUGGAUAGCUAAGGUGCCACCUGCCAAAGCGGCCUGUUUAGGAAAUCUAACAAAAACACUGUGAAAUCCUGUUUGAUCUCAGCCAUUGUUCACUGCUAAUUCCACAGGACAGGAAAACAGAGUUUGUUUGAAGACAGGAAUGAUCCUGGACCUGAGCUCUCAUCUGCAGAGGAGAAAUGAAGCAACAUCAUUUGACCUCAAACUCACUGCUGUAAGAAAACAUGACUCUUGGAAAUCCAGAUUUACAAAAUGAUCCACUUGCCAAAAGAACUACAGUGACAGAACACUACGCAACUACAAACACAGGUGUGGAAAUAAAACCUAUUAAGA